rnacentral:rRNA from 1 species
GAUGAACGCUAGCGACAGGCUUAACACAUGCCAGUCGAGGGGCAGCACAGGUAGCAAUACCGGGUGGCGACCGGCGCACGGGUGAGUAACGCGUAUGCAACUUACCUAUCAGAGGGGGAUAACCCGGCGAAAGUCGGACUAAUACCGCAUGAAGCGGGGGUCCCGCAUGGGGAUAUUUGCUAAAGAUUCAUCGCUGAUAGAUAGGCAUGCGUUCCAUUAGGCAGUUGGUGGGGUAACGGCCCACCAAACCGACGAUGGAUAGGGGUUCUGAGAGGAAGGUCCCCCACAUUGGUACUGAGACACGGACCAAACUCCUACGGGAGGCAGCAGUGAGGAAUAUUGGUCAAUGGCCGAGAGGCUGAACCAGCCAAGUCGCGUGAGGGAUGAAGGUUCUAUGGAUCGUAAACCUCUUUUAUAAGGGAAUAAAGUGCGGGACGUGUCCCGUUUUGUAUGUACCUUAUGAAUAAGGAUCGGCUAACUCCGUG